UUCCGCACCCCCUUCCUUCCCUCCUCAUCAUCAUCCAGCCGCUUAGGACCGUUUCAGCGUUUCUACUCCGUCGUAUCGAGCGCCCGCGUACUCCAAGUCUGCAGAGCAAAAAUAUAAGAACCAGCCGUGCCACCCACUCAGUGUCAAGAGGAUGGGUCAGUCGGCCUCCUCCUCGCAGGAAAACCCUUCAACGGGCGGGGGCUUCAUUUCCUCCGCCAUCCAUUACCAGUCCCGUCGUGCUGGUAGAGCAGAGUCGCCCGCCAUGGAGGUGCAGAGCAUGCUUUGCACCCUGAACUUUCCUCCUUCGGCGUCUGGCGCGGGCGCAGAAGGAGUGGAUAGUCCCACAUGCACGGUCAGUUCCGCCGGCAAUGCGAGUGGCGCUGCUGCGGCCAUCCCCAUUUUAUGCCUCGACGCGUCGGCGCUGGACAUCCGCCAGUUAUUGAAGUCGCUGGAGCUGCCGCCAGCGCAGUGCGCCAAGGCUCUCCAAGAGGCAUCGAGGAAAGCUAGCGGUGUUCUCCUGCACGCCCCUGCCAACACAAGUGUGGAUGCGCUGAGGCAGUUCCUGCUGGCCCAGACAACGUCGUCUGCAUCAGCGAACACUGUAGACAGCGGUGCGUUGACGCUUCAUCUGUUUGCCCUUCGCCACCCGUUACUUUCCAUCGCUGAUGGUGCCGCGGCUGAUGUCACACCGUCUUGUGGCGCUGCUGAGGCCUCCUCCAACUCGCUGGUGGCGCUUGCGGAGUCGAUGGAGCUGUCCGAGCUGAGCAUGAACAAUCAGCUCUUCUUUUUCCCCCUUCUGGGGGCCAGUGAGACUGACUGCAACCCUCUUGCCAAAAAUCAUGUCGGUGCCGGCGCCACCGACUCCUACUGGGCUGCGCUGCGGCGAGAAGAGGCGGAGGUGGAGGAGGCAGCAGCUGCGAGUCUCUCCGUCGGCGCCGGUGAUCCUCCCAUCACAAGGCGUGCACUAGUGCUGCUCUACACUCAUGAGACAAGGUUUGGCUUUGACGGCGACGACUUGCUUCUGCUCGGGUGCUGCGCUUCUAUCUGCGCUUGCAUUGCAGCUGGCAUCUGCUGCUGCAUGGACGCCGCAAAGAACAAUCAGCAACCCAACCACGUCAACACGAAACCGAACUACUACGGCGGCAAUGGUGUACCCCAGUACUACAACAACGGCGCCGGCAACGCUUACUACGGGCAGCAGCCGCAGCAGAGCUAUUACAACAGUGGGGCGCCCGGGUACGGCAUGCCACCGAACGCGUAUGCCAACACCAAUACGAAUGUGCUUCAGCCGCAGCCGCUGCAUCAGAACUAUUACGGCGGUGGGUACCAGUACCAGCCGCAGAACCAGCAGCUGAAUGGUAUUCCCAUUCAAUCUGCUACGUACGUUCCGAGCGCACCUGCAGCAGGACCGCUAUAGCCGCCGGCAGCGAGGAGAGACGAGGCUUCCUCACUGGCUCCCCCCUAAAAGCAUAACCAGGCGCCACAUUUGGAUGCCUUUGUCUGUGUCUCUACUGCGGCGUGUCGGAAAGCACGUUGUGUGGGAGAGAACGCUUUUGGCGGAAACCAAGACGAAGAGAGCCAACGAAAACAAACAAGGAAUGUGCUUUCGCGUCGCGCGGGCGUUGUUCCCGCUGCCCCGCUGUCCCCCUCAUGCUGCUCUCGGCUGCACUCUUGCCUCUUAGGUGUUUUUGCUUUCCCUUUUUAUAUGCAUUUUGCAUGCGGUGUGCGUGUGUGUGAGAGGCAAUUCCACACACACGCGCACACACACACACCGCCUUUCCCUUGCUCAUACACACCCCUUCUCUGUUCAGCGCCACUGUCCACCACCCACCCCCUCACUUCCGUAUGACCUUCCCGUCUCUUCCAUUUCUGGGCUCCUGCUUGAAUUCGGCUGCGUUCAUUUUGUUUCUUUUUCUUCUUUUUUUUUGUUUGUUUCCUCCCACCAGCACGGUUAGGAAGGGAGCUGGGCGAGCUAGCAUGAAAUGAGCGUAAAGAAGGGAUGGAAGUAUGGGAAGGAUGGUUGACGAGUGAUGCGCUUCGUCAUGGCCCAUGCUAUGUAGUCCCGGAGUGUGAUGCCAGCAUCAUGAAAAGCAAAGAAAGUGUCGCUCAACCUGUACCUCUCUGUUUCUGUAGCCGCUCUCUCCCUGUUCCACUUUCCUCCCUCUCGUUCUUUCCGUAUUGUUGUUUUCAGCUGCACCCCCCCCUCUACCUCCCUCUCCCCGCUACACCCCCACCCACACACACGCGCGGUCACAUCCAUCCAUUCAUUCGCUCUCUUGCCUCCUCUCCCCUCCUUCUGGCGUCUUCCUUCCUUUCACACAUGCUCUUUUACCUUUCAUUUUUUUGUUGUUGUUUCUUUUCGUCCUUUUGCUUGAUGCUCCCUCAUGACGAUGCCGGGCCACUCCACCUGCGGUAUCGCACAGGGCGCAGCGCCCCGAUCUUCGUGGGGAUGCCAAGUAGCCGGCGCAGCCUGCCCUUGGGGACGGCUGGCGACUCGCGGUGUCCGGCGGACAAGUCGGAGCUGGCGGUGUGCCGAAGAGGCGUGCGGUCAUGAUCACGUUCGUACCAGCUCACCGCCAACCGUGUCAAUGAUUCAACAAGUAUACGCAUCCAGCUACUGUUGUUAUGUUUUAGUUGCGUCGCGGUGACGUCGAGUGUGAACGAUGGGCCUAGCCGGCGCUGUAUGCAGUGGCACUGCGCUCGGUUGUGCGACGCCGAACGGUGUUGGUUGGCCAGAUCCCUCGUCAUAGACGCAGUGCAAUAGUGAAAAGUGAACAGCUGUGGCUUUGCAGGCGCGUAUUUGUUGCUGACUUGCUCGUGUUGGGAUGACCAUGUGGAGCAGAACAAGAAGAAGGCAAUAUGUUCUACUUUUACGUGGGUGGGUGUCUUUAAUAUAUAUGUGUGUGUCUCUACACCCCUCUCCUUCCUUCCCUCCCUCCCUCCCUCUCUCCUUCUCUCUCUUUAUCCCUCCCACUCCCAUAUGGCCGUGUGUCUCACCCAGUUCCUGCCUUCCUCCUCUUCUUCAUUUGUAUGGCAUUGUUCGUUUCCUUCUCUGCAGUGUGUGUUGUGGUGAAGGCGGCACCUAGCGGCGUAGGUUUGGCCCCUCGGUUUACUUUUCCAUGGAGGUGGUGCGCCAAGGCUCCUCCAACUUUCUUCCCUUCUUUUUCUUUUUUUGCGGAUUUCUGUGUUGUUUGUAUGCAUGCGUGUGUGAAGGGGAAAGAGAGGGCGAGGGGCUUGUGGGCUGCCGGUGUUUCUUUUAUUGUUUUCUUUUUUUCUUGCCGUUGUGCAAGCUGGGUACGAAAGGUGGGAAGGAUGGAAGCGAUUUUGUUUGUGUAUGUGUGUCUAUCUUCGUGUGUAGGGUGGCUUGAAGAAGCGGUGCCGUCGUGACAGUCACCGCCUUCCCAUAUGUGUGCUCUCCUUUCCCCUCUUUCUUUGCGUGCAUCUUCGAUGUGUCUUCUUGUUUGUUUUCCGUUGGUUUUGUUUCAUGGCUUGCGCGCUUGUGUGAGCUUGUGUGUGUGUGUGUCUUCUGACCUCUUCCUCUCGCUCCUCCUUACCCUCCCGGAUACAUCACACCAUUUCUCCGGUUUCCUGCCUCACCACGUCUUCUUCUCCCCGUUUCCUCUCCCCGCCCCGCCCCCUGAGUAAGUUAUACGUGCUGCAGGUGAGGGAAUGCCUCGUGCGAAGUGUUUGGGAGGGGCGGAGGAGCGGCUGAACAAACAG
rnacentral:misc_RNA from 1 species